UACGUAGGGCCCGAGCGUUGUCCGGAAUCAUUGGGCGUAAAGAGCGUGUAGGCGGCCACUUAAGUCCUGCGUGAAAUCUUGCGGCUCAACCGCAAGCGGUCGUGGGAAACUGGGUGACUAGAGUGCGGUAGGGGAGAUUGGAAUUCCUGGUGUAGCGGUGGAAUGCGCAGAUAUCAGGAGGAACACCGAUGGCGAAGGCAGAUCUCUGGGCCGUAACUGACGCUGAGGAGCGAAAGCGUGGGGAGCGAACAGG
rnacentral:rRNA from 1 species